UUCUACAGCCAUGCCACCCUGAACAAGCCUGAUCCCUUCUGAUCUCGGAAGCUAAGCAGGGUCGGUCCUGGUUAGUACUUCGAUGGGAGACCACCUAGGAACACCAGGUGCUAUAGGUG
rnacentral:rRNA from 1 species